ACAUAUCAAGAAAAAGGACAAGAAAAAUCAAUAAAAUUAAUUGACAUGGGCCAGGGAGGUGUAUACUGUAAGUGGAAGGUGCAGGAGUGAAGGGUGCAGGGCCCAGGCCAGCAAGGCCCACUGGCUUUGCAUUGGAUUCAGGGGGAGGUGCGCAUAGUUUGGUCAGGGUGCAGACAGUGAUUUCAUUGGGACUGAGAACGUUGGGCCCAUUUCUCUCUGUCUGAGUGAGCAGGGGAGAGGCACAAUAAUUGUAGGGUGUGGCAAUGAACUUCAUUGACCAAAUGUUACAAUAACCCAAAUCACAAGCAUGAAGGGGAGGGGGUCAAUUCUCCCAUGUUCAUUCACAAAGCACGCUCAGAAGGUUCACCACAUCACGUUUCCACCCUGACUUGAGAGACACUCCUCCGUGGCACCGAAAAUCGCCUCCGGUGGUGGUGGAGGGCCAAACCUUACCAUACUUAUAUCAAUGUCUUUGUCUCCUUAUGCUCUACAUAAAUCCAACUUCACUUUUCACCAAUUCAUAUUAAAUCACCCAAACCGAUUCAUUCUAUUCAAGAAACAUAAACCUAAAAUCUUCAAAUUAAAUCCUUCCACAGAGGAAUUAAAGUCCAAUUGGUUAUGGAUUCGAUUCUCCUAACCGUAUCCUACGUGUUGGUAAGCUAAACAAUACGAAGCAAGGGAAAAAAGUACCUACCGCUGGAGAAGAUGGGGCUGACGAUGGCGACGAGGCUGAACUGACAGACUGCUUUAUCCAUUUGGUCAAGGCUUGGAAAUAAAGAUGCCAUGGAUGAAAAGUGAAGAAUCAUGUUUCUUGCACAUGAAGAAAUCUUUUGAUCACGAAGUUGAAAUGGAAGAUGGGACAAUGAGGAAUAAACAUAAAAAAGUUAGGAUUAGGCUUAGAAAUUAGGUGAGGUGGCUUUGGUCAACUAGUUUACCAAAAAGUCAGUAGUUGACCAAAAUUCAACUUAUGUCAAAAGUUUGUAAUUUUUGUAUGAUUUGAUUUUGUACGGUUUCCUUAUAUUUUGUAAUUAAUUUUCAAGGAUCUUAUGGUGUAAUGAUGCAUAUAACCUUUGGAAAUGCAAUGAACUUCUUAUUUGAUAUGCAAAUGGAUUUGAAUUUGAAUGUAA